rnacentral:rRNA from 1 species
ACUCAAAGGAAUUGACGGGGACUUGCACAAGCGGUGGAUGAUGCGGCUCAAUUCGAUGACAAACGAAGAACCUCACCAGGGUUUGAAACUAAUACGUAAGCCUUAGGAAACUUUGGCCCCCGCAAGGCGGAUUAGCAGGUGAUGCAUGGUCGUCGUCAGUUCGUGGCUUGAGUUGUUCCCUUCAGUGGGGUAACGAACGCAACCCUCGUUGCCUGUUUUAUAUGUCAGGCGAGACUGCCCCCUCACGGGGGAGGAAGGUGAGGAUGACGCCAGAUCAGCAUGUCCCUCUGAUAUCCUGGGCUGCACGCAUCAUACAAUGCACACGACAACGGGUCGCGACGGGGUAACCCUGAGCCAAUCCUUAUAACGUGUGCCCAGUUCGGAUUGAGGGCUGCAACUCGCCCUCAUGAAGCCGGAAUCGCUAGUAAUCGCGGGUCAGCUAUACCGCGGUGAAUACGUUCUCAAGUCUUGUACACACCGCCCGU